UGGGAUAUAGCUCAGUGGCACAGUGCCUGUCUGGUAAGCAGAAGGUCAUGAGUUCGAUUCCCAGUACCAA
rnacentral:tRNA from 1 species